GAUGAACGCUAGCGACAGGCUUAACACAUGCAAGUCGAGGGGCAGCGGGGGAGUCAGCUUGCUGACUUUUGCGGCGACCGGCGCACGGUGAGUAACACGUAUGCAACCUGCCGCCACAGGGGGAGUAACCGGAGAAAUACCCGACCUAAUACCGCGUAGACCGCGAGGGGCGAUCCGACGCGGGGAAAGGACAUGGUCCGGUGGCGGAUGGGCGAUGCGGCGCAUUAGCUAGUUGGCGGGGCAACGGCCCACCAAGGCGACGAUGCGUAGGGGUUCUGAGAGGAAGGUCCCCCCACAUUGGUACUGAGACACGGACCAAACUCCUACGGGAGGCAGCAGUGAGGAAUA
rnacentral:rRNA from 1 species